rnacentral:lncRNA from 1 species
UUUCUUUAGGAAUAACACAACACAACACAACACAAAUGAGAAUUCAGAUACGUGUCACCUGCCAAGCAUCUUUUUCUUUUUCCAUAUCUCUUGAGUAUGUGUGCUGUGUUGCAUAUGCAGGUGAAAGGUGGGAAACAAAUGCUCUACUGGAAUAGAAGAAGUGCGUAAAAAGAAUCUGGCAUGGAUGGAAAAGAAAGAAAAAGGUUUGGCCGGAGGAGAGUCGAGAUCAUUACCGGUACCCCAAUAUGACUUGCAAGUUCCAUCCCAUCCCAUCCCAUCCCAUCCCUUCCCUAAAAGAAAAGUAGAAGUAGC